rnacentral:rRNA from 1 species
CUUGACGACCAUAGAACAUUGGAACCACCUGAUCCCAUCCCGAACUCAGCAGUGAAACGAUGUAUCGCCGAUGGUAGUGUGGGGUUUCCCCAU